rnacentral:lncRNA from 1 species
CCCUUCUUCCAUUUGACCAGCCUUCUUGAAGCUGCUACUUCUUUCCAAGUGUUCUCUUCUUCAGGCUGACACCAGAGUUCUCUUAACCAGCCCUCUCUAGCAUCUCCUCUCAUCACGCCGGUCACAUUCUGCUUGGCAUAUCUUUCCUAAGGGUGCCAGAAUUCUCUUCACGUUUCCAACAUUUCAGAAUCAGAGUUUUCAAAAAGAGAGAAUAUAAUCUUGGGGGAAGGAGAACCAAAAACCUUGUAACUGAUUGA